AGCAGUCGCCGCGGUAAUACGUAGGUGGCAAGCGUCGUCCGGAAUCAUUGGGCGUAAAGCGCGCGCAGGUGGUUUAAUAAGUCUGAUGUGAAAGCCCACGGCUCAACCGUGGAGGGUCAUUGGAAACUGUUAAACUUGAGUGCAGGAGAGAAAAGUGGAAUUCCUAGUGUAGCGGUGAAAUGCGUAGAGAUUAGGAGGAACACCAGUGGCGAAGGCGGCUUUUUGGCCUGUAACUGACACUGAGGCGCGAAAGCGUGGGGAGCAAACAGGAUUAGAUACCCCAGUAGUCCCUGUCUCUUAUAA
rnacentral:rRNA from 1 species